rnacentral:rRNA from 1 species
UUCUUGAAACUCAAAGAAUUUGGCGGUGUUUUAGUCUAUUCAGAGGAAUCUGUUCCGUAAUCGAUAAUUCACGAAUUAUUAUACUUAAUUUUGUAAAAUCAACUUGUAUACCGCCGUCAUCAGAUUAUUUUUUUAGAAUUAAAUUUUCUUUAAAUUUUAUUAAAUUAUAUGUCAGGUCAAGGUGCAGUUUAUAAUUAAGUGGAAAUGGAUUACAAUAAAAUUAUUUAUUUAUGGAUUUAAAUAUGAAAAGUUUAUUGAAGGUGGAUUUGAUAGUAAUAUUAAAUAAUAAUUUGAUUUUAGCUCUAAAACAUGUACACAUCGCCCGUCGCUCUCGUUAUUAAGGCGAGAUAAGUCGUAACAUAGUAGAUGUACUGGAAAGUGUAUCUAGAAAGUAAAA